UUUUGUUUUCAGGUUUUCAUCAUUAUUCAUUUGGUGGCUAAAUAUUACUCAUGGGACGUUUCUAGAGAAUGCAAGACCAUGUUUGAGUGAGAAAUUGGUCUUGAUGAAAUUGAGAGUUCAAUGAACAGCACACCCGUAUCACCCGUAUUUCUAUUUCUAAAGCAGAAGGGCUUUCGGUGGCUGAAACAAGUGAGUGAUUAAGUUUUUUAUCACCCGUAUUAUUUGUUAUCACUAGGGAAAGAAAGCUGAGUAGAAAAAGUAGAAUGCCAAAUG